rnacentral:rRNA from 1 species
UACGGAAGGGGCAAGCGUUGUUCGGAAUCAUUGGGCGUAAAGGGCGCGUAGGCGGUCCUGAUCGUCGGAUGUGAAAGGCCUGGGCUCAACCUGGGAAUGGCAUCCGAUACGGCGGGACUGGAGUGUGGGAGAGGUUGGUGGAAUUCCCAGUGUAGAGGUGAAAUUCGUAGAUAUUGGGAAGAACACCGGUGGCGAAGGCGGCCAACUGGACCACAACUGACGCUGAGGCGCGAAAGCGUGGGGAGCAAACAGG